rnacentral:rRNA from 1 species
GAUGAACGCUGGCGGCGUGCCUAAUACAUGCAAGUCGAGCGAACGGACGAGAAGCUUGCUUCUCUGAUGUUAGCGGCGGACGGGUGAGUAACACGUGGAUAACCUACCUAUAAGACUGGGAUAACUUCGGGAAACCGGAGCUAAUACCGGAUGAUAUUUUGAACCGCAUGGUUCAAAAGUGAAAGACGGUCUUGCUGUCACUUAUAGAUGGAUCCGCGCUGCAUUAGCUAGUUGGUAAGGUAAUGGCUUACCAAGGCAACGAUGCAUAGCCGACCUGAGAGCGUGGGGGGGCACACGUGGACUGAGAAACAGACCGGACUACCACGGGAGGGAGCAGCAGGGGAUGUUCGUGAAUGGGCGACGGCCCGAAAGAGUAAGGUCGCGGGAGUGAUGAUAGUCUUAGGGUACUAAGACUCUGUUAUCAGGGAAGAACAAAAGUGUAAGUAACUGUGCACCUCCGGAAGGUGCCUAAUCAGAAAGACAACGCUAGCCAAGUC